rnacentral:miRNA from 1 species
CCAUUAACGGUGUAACAGUAAGCU